UUGACAAUUGUUUUAGCUGUGUGUGAUGCCCCCCUCCAUAGUUACACACCUCGGUCAUAUCGUCGUAGUUCUUAGGCGAAGCCCUGCGCCGGUAACUUCAUCAUCACCAUCACCACGCUGUCGUGUUGACGAAACUCUACCUCGGCCUCAACUGGAUCAAGAGUAUGAGGGAUGUCUCUGAGAUGAACGUGUGCCGAACAUGGAGGUGUCGUACAUUCGAUGCUUGGAUCGGUUGGGCCACGAAGACGUUCGACUACAUCAACUGCGUUAACUAAACGCUUCCGCUUUCGGUCUACGAGGAUACGUGGACACACUCUCCCCUCUCGUUGUUAUGCAUCACAUAGAUAGAUCUUGCGUGAUCGUAGGAAAUUUUUGAAAUUACCGCGUUCCCCAACACCAACAAGGAGAAGUAAUGGUGCAAGAUGGACACCAAGAGCAUGGCGAGGGAUUUUCCCAGCUCGGAGAUAGAGGUACAACCGCCCAUGUACCUCCCAACUACCUGUCGACCGGUACAACCGCCCAUGUACCGCCAACUACCGGUCCACCAAUAUAACCGCUGGCUCGACUACCGCCCAACUACCGGUCCAGCUUCUGUAUUUGAGCGGUGCAAGGCCGGUACCACCACGGUUUGUACCCAUAACAGCCAUAUGACCGGUACAACCGCUCCAACCACCGGUACAACCGCUAGUGACUUCCGGGAACACCUCUAGAGACCAGUACAAGAGCUCCAGGCGGUACAACCGCCCUGCCUGCACGCAGAGAAAGGAGUUUCACCCCAUGUAUCCCCCACUUACCCCUUGGACUAUAUAUACUUGUCCCCUAGCUCCGUAUUAGGGUUAGCAUUGUGAUAGCUCAUAUUUGAGAUAGAGCUUUUCUCAUCCACUUGGUUACUUCUCCAUCAGAGUUGAGCGCCUCUUCGGAGAAGAACCCCCAAGCGGAUUCAAGACCCCAUCACAGGAAGACCCUUCAAGACCUCCUCACGGAGAAGACCUUUUGUAUUGUCCUGUGUUGACCUUGAAUCGUGUAUCUCUUUGUGUUUCUAGGAUCUAGCACAUGUGUAAUCGGAUCUUGUUGGUUUGAGUGAUUCUCUCGUGUUUCCCCUCGUGAUUUCUCCUUGUGUUCUUCGUGUUCUUCGUAGGAUUCCCUCCAAUCGUGAAAGAUCGGGCCGCUAGGGUUCUACCCUACAUCAUCUUUGGUAUCAUGAGCCAUGUUGGUCAUGAUUUGGAGCCCCUAACCCUCUUUUUCUAGCCUAAUUUUGUUGUGUUCUUCCCGAAUUUUGAAAAUCCCCACCAAAAUAGCCCCAAUUUUUUUUGAUUUGUUGGUAUGAUGAAGUUUUGUUGAUUCUGAUCCAUGGAUUUGCUUGGUUUCGAGUGGAUCUAGCAUCUCUCCAAGUUUCCCCAUCUUUCAUCCACGAAAUCUCUCCAAUUUUUCCCUUGAAAUCAUUGAUUUCUGCCCCCAGUUCAUCCCGUAUCCAGAUCUACAAAUUUUUCCCGACAAAACGAUAAACCGUCCCCCAAGGCGGUACAACUGCUCCCCCAUCCCCUGAUACUUCUGCCAGCUAAAAACUAGAACCUGAGGAUGCUCCAGGAGCGGUACAACCGCCCUCCCAAGCGGUACAACCGCCCCUUCCAGGUCUAGCCUCGGCUAAUUGACAGUUUUGACCAUAACUAAUUCAUCCAGACUCAGAUUUUAACGUUAUUUAGCUCGUUGGAUAGCUAUUGACAUCCGCCUUCCAUAUAGAUAGGUUCCCACACCAUUUGACACCAUCAAAUUUUCCAAACUUUGGCAUCUUUUCCUCGGCAUUCCACCAUAACAUCCGUAUAACCACCUUAGCCUUCCGCAACCUAACCCAUUUUGUUCCCCAUAGCAUUAGUGGUUCCUUGAGUAGCGAUUCGAGUCUCCUAAGGUGUUUCGGCUACUUAGGGACGGUUGCUUCUUCAUCAACCACCACCACCAUUUCCACAUAGUCUUGUCCACCGUACAUUUCACCAACCCAACUUAAUCCAAUUGUUGUUUGAGCUUGUUUGACCUUGUUUGAGUUGUGGCUUGUGUCUCCUAAGGUGUUUCGGCUACUUAAGGAUGGAAACUUCAACUUCGACACGUGUAUAGCCCAUCACUCCACUUCCGCAUUGCCGAGCGCAAACCACCACCGCUUUUCGCUACCACCAUUUAACAUUUGAAAUUUGAGAUUUUGAGUUUGCAGUUUUUCCAUUUCCUAAGGUGUUUCGGCUAAUUAUGAAUGGUUCGACAUAGAGAACACCACCACUCAUGAUCGCCACGAGGUCGUCAUCGACAUUGACCACUUCACCAUUUUGACACCAUCAACCGUAAGCAAGGAACGGUAACCUCGACGACAUCAUUGUACAUUCCCCUUGCCAUUGCAUUGUUAACCCCUAGCCCAUUUUGCGUCACUUGCCUACCAAGACUAGCCAUUGAGUAUUGUCGGCAACGUUACUUGUGCACAUUAGUGAUCAUUGGUCUACACCUUCCAUUACAUACACACCAUAUCAUAUUGGUAUCAUCAUAUCAUCUCUUGUGCCAAAAGUUUGUUCCCGCAUAUAUACAAUUGCUAUCUUGGUUUGUGCAUUUCGCAUAGUGGCCAUAAAAAAGAAUAAACUUUUAAGCAAAAGAGAAAGAGCAAAGAGCUUGUAAGCAAUAACCAUAGCAUCCUACCACAUUGCACAUAAGAUUUUCAUAUCCGAUCAUCUUGGAUCAUCUUGAGAAGAACACCGGGAACCAUACAUACAUAGCAUACUUGGGAUAGAAGUUGCUACAUUUUGCAUCUUAUAGGUUGUGCACAAGUGUCGUAUCCGCCUAUAGAGAAAUUGUGCUAGCGUCUCUCUUGAGUUGUGCAACACGAGCGUUUUCCAUGGAUUCCACAUUUUGAACUCAUUCCUUGCUUGCACGACCCCAUUUAUCUAUCUGUGUGUGUGUGUUGGGGAACGUUGCAGAAAAUAAAAAAUUUCUAUGAUUCACCAAGAUCAAUCUAUGGAGUCAUCUAGCAACGAGAGAGAGGAGUGCAUCUACAUACCCUUGUAGAUCACAAGCGGAAGCAUUCAAGAGAACGGGGUUGAGGGAGUCGUACUCGUCGUGAUCCAAAUCACCGAUGAUCCUAGCGCCGAACGGACGGCACCUCCGCAUUCAACACACGUACGGUUGGGGAAGACGUCUCCUCCUUCUUGAUCCAGCAAGGGGAAAGGAGAGGUUGAUGGAGAUUCAGCAGCACGACGGCGUGGUGGUGCAAGUAGCGGCGAUCUCGGGCUUCGCCAAGCUCAGUGAGAGGGAGAGGUGUUACGGAGGGAGAGGGAGGCGCCAGGAGCUGGGGUGUGCAGCCCUCCCCCCCCCCCCCCCUCUUUAUAUAGGGGCCCUGGGGGGUGCCGACCCCUAGAGAUUGAAUCUCAAGGGAGGGGCGGCCAAGGGGGGGGACUUGCCCCCCAAGCCAAGUGGGGCGCCACCAUCCCUAGGGUUUCUAACCCUAGGCGCAGGGGAGGCCCAAGGGGGGCGCACCAGCCCACCAGNNNNNNNNNNNNNNNNNNNNNNNNNNNNNNNNNNNNNNNNNNNNNNNNNNNNNNNNNNNNNNNNNNNNNNNNNNNNNNNNNNNNNNNNNNNNNNNNNNNNNNNNNNNNNNNNNNNNNNNNNNNNNNNNNNNNNNNNNNNNNNNNNNNNNNNNNNNNNNNNNNNNNNNNNNNNNNNNNNNNNNNNNNNNNNNNNNNNNNNNNNNNNNNNNNNNNNNNNNNNNNNNNNNNNNNNNNNNNNNNNNNNNNNNNNNNNNNNNNNNNNNNNNNNNNNNNNNNNNNNNNNNNNNNNNNNNNNNNNNNNNNNNNNNNNNNNNNNNNNNNNNNNNNNNNNNNNNNNNNNNNNNNNNNNNNNNNNNNNNNNNNNNNNNNNNNNNNNNNNNNNNNNNNNNNNNNNNNNNNNNNNNNNNNNNNNNNNNNNNNNNNNNNNNNNNNNNNNNNNNNNNNNNNNNNNNNNNNNNNNNNNNNNNNNNNNNNNNNNNNNNNNNNNNNNNNNNNNNNNNNNNNNNNNNNNNNNCAGGAGCUGGGGUGUGCAGCCCUCCCUCCCCCCCCCCCUCUUUAUAUAGGGGCCCUGGGGGGUGCCGACCCCUAGAGAUUGAAUCUCAAGGGAGGGGCGGCCAAGGGGGGGGACUUGCCCCCCAAGCCAAGUGGGGCGCCACCAUCCCUAGGGUUUCUAACCCUAGGCGCAGGGGAGGCCCAAGGGGGGCGCACCAGCCCACCAGGGGCUGGUUCCCCUCCCACUUCAGCCCAUGUGGCCCUCCCGGAUAGGUGGCCCCACCUGGUGGACCCCCGGGACCCUUCCGGUGGUCCCGAUACAAUACCGGUGACCCCCGAACCUUUCCCGGUGGCCGAAACUGGACUUCCUAUAUAUAAAUCUUCACCUCCGAACCAUUCCAGAACUCCUCGUGACGUCCGGGAUCUCAUCUGGGACUCCAAAAAACUUUCAGGUUACCGCAUACUAAUAUCUCUACAACCCUAGCGUCACCGAACCUUAAGUGUGUAGACCCUACGGGUUCGGGAGACGCGUAGACAUGACCGAGACAGCUCUCCAGCCGAUAACCAACAGCAGGAUCUAGAUACCCAUGUUGGCUCCCGCAUGUUCCACGAUGAUCUCAUCGAAUGAACCAUGAUGUCGAGGAUUCAAGUAAUCCCGUAUACAAUUCCCUUUGUCAAUCGGUACGUUACUUGCCCGAGAUUCGAUCGUCGGUAUCCCAAUACCUCGUUCAAUCUCAUUAUCGUCAAGUCACCUUACUCGUACCAUAAUGCAUGAUCCCGUGACCAAACACUUGGUCACAUUGAGCUCAUUAUGAUGAGAUGCAUUACCGAGUGGGCCCAGAGAUACCUCUCCGUCAUACGGAGUGACAAAUCCCAGUCUCGAUCCGUGUCCACCCAACAGAUAUUUCGGGGUACCUGUAGUAUACCUUUAUAGUCACCCAGUUACGUUGUGACGUUUGGUACACCCAAAGCACUCCUAUGGCAUCCGGGAGUUACACGAUCUCAUGGUCUAAGGAAAUAAUACUUGACAUUGGAAAAGCUCUAGCAAACGAACUACACGAUCUUGUGCUAUGCUUAGGAUUGGGUCUUCUUGUCCAUCACAUCAUUCUCCUAAUGAUGUGAUCCCGUUACCAAUGACAUCCAAUGUCCAUAGUCAGGAAACCAUGACUAUCUAUUGAUCAACGAGCUAGUUAACUACAGGCUCACUAGGGACAUGUUAUGGUCUAUGUAUUCACACAUGUAUCAUGAUUUCCGGAUAACACAAUUAUAGAAUGAAUAAUAGACAAUUAUCGUGAACAAGGAAAUAUAAUAAUAAUCAUUUUAGUAUUGCCUCUAGGGAAUAUUUCCAACAGUCUCCCACUUGCACUAGAGUCAAAAAUCUAGUUACAUUGUGAUGAAUCAAACACCCAUAGAGUUCUGGUGUUGAUCAUGUUUUGCUCGCGGAAGAGGUUUAGUCAAUGGAUCUGCGACAUUCAGAUCCGUAUGCACUUUGCAAAUAUCUAUGUCUCCAUCUUGAACAUUUUCAUGAAUGGAGUUGAAGUGACGCUUGAUGUGUUUGGUCCUCUUGUGAAACCUAGGCUCCUUGGCAAGGGCAAUAGCUCCAGUGUUGUCACAGAAGAGAGUGAUCGGCCCCGAUGCAUUGGGUAUGACUCCUAGGUCGGUUAUGAACUCCUUCAUCCAGAUUGCUUCAUGCGCUGCCUCCGAGGCUGCCAUGUACUCCGCUUCACAUGUAGAUCCCUCCAUGGCGCUUUGCUUGCAACUGCACCAGCUUACUGCCCCUCCAUUCAAAAUAUACACGUAUCCGGUUUGUGACUUAGAGUCAUCCAGAUCUGUGUCGAAGCUAGCGUCGACGUAACCCUUUACAACGAGCUCUUCGUCACCUCCAUAAACGAGAAACAUAUCCUUAGUCCUUUUCAGGUACUUCAGGAUAUUCUUGACCGUUGUCUAGUGUUCCAUGCCGGGAUUACUUUGGUACCUUCCUACCAAACUUACGGCAAGGUUUAUAUCAGGUCUGGUACACAGCAUGGCAUACAUAAUAGACCCUAUAGCCGAGGCAUAGGGGAUGACACUCAUCUUUUCUCUAUCUUCUGCCGUGGUCGGGCAUUGAGCUGAGCUCAAUUUCACACCUUGCAACACAGGCAAGAACCCCUUCUUGGACUGAUCCAUAUUGAACUUCUUCAAUAUCUUAUCAAGGUAUGUACUUUGUGAAAGACCUAUGAGGCGUCUCGAUCUAUCCCUAUAGAUCUUGAUGCCUAAUAUGUAAGCAGCUUCUCCAAGGUCCUUCAUUGAAAAAUACUUAUUCAAGUAGGCCUUAAUGCUGUCCAAAAGUUCUAUAUCAUUUCCCAUCAAAAGUAUGUCAUCUACAUAUAAUAUGAGAAAUGCUACAGAGCUCCCACUCACUUUCUUGUAAACGCAGGCUUCUCCAUAAGUCUGCAUAAACCCAAACGCUUUGAUCAUCUCAUCAAAGCGAAUGUUCCAACUCCGAGAUGCUUGCACCAGCCCAUAAAUGGAUCGCUAGAGUUUGCAUACCUUGUUAGCAUUCUCAGGAUCGACAAAACCUUCCGGCUGCAUCAUAUACAGUUCUUCCUUAAGAUAGCCAUUAAGGAAUGCCGUUUUGACGUCCAUUUGCCAUAUCUCAUAAUCAUAGUAUGCGGCAAUUGCUAACAUGAUUUGGACGGACUUUAGCUUCGUUACGGGAGAGAAAGUCUCAUCGUAGUCAACCCCUUGAACUUGUCGAUAACCCUUAGCGACAAGUCGAGCUUUAUAGAUGGUAACAUUACAAUCCGCGUCAGUCUUCUUCUUAAAGAUCCAUUUGUUUUCUAUCGCUCGCCGAUCAUCGGGCAAGUCUGUCAAAGUCCACACUUUGUUUUCAUACAUGGAUCCUAUCUCGGAUUGCAUGGCUUUAAGCCAUUUGUUGGAAUUUGGGCCCGCCAUUCCUUCUUCAUAGUUUGAAGGUUCACUGUUGUCUAACAACAUGAUUCCUAGGACAGGGUUGCCAUACCACUCUGGUGUGGAACGUGUCCUCGUGGACCUACGAAGCUCAGUAGUAACUUGAUCUGAAGUACCUUGAUCAUCAUCAUUAAUUUCCUCUCUAGUCCGUGCAGGCACCACAGGAACAUCUUCCUGAGCUGCGCUACUUACCGGUUCAAGAGGUAGUACUUCAUCAAGUUCCACUUUCCUCCCACUUACUUCUUUCGAGAGAAACUCUUUCUCCAGAAAGGACGCAUUCUUGGCAACAAAGAUCUUGCCUUCGGAUCUGAGGUAGAAGGUAUACCCAAUGGUUUCCUCAGGGUAUCCUAUGAAGACGCAUUUUUCCGACUUGGGUUCAAGCUUUUCAGGUUGAAGUUUCUUGACAUAAGCAUCGCAUCCCCAAACUUUUAGAAACGACAGAUUAUGUUUCUUCCCAAACCAUAAUUCAUAGGUGUCAUCUCAACGGAUUUAGACGGUGCCCUAUUUAAAGUGAAUGUAGCUGUCUCUAGAGCGUAUCCCCAAAAUGAUAGUGGUAAAUCGGUGAGUGACAUCAUAGAUCGCACCAUAUCCAAUAGAGUGCGAUUACGACGCUUGGACACACUGUUACACUGAGGUGUUCCAGGCGGCGUGAACACUUCCACAUUUCCUUAAGUGUGUACCAAAUUCGUGACUUAAAUAUUCUCCUCCACGAUCUGAUCGUAAGAACUUUAUUUUUCGGUCACGUUGAUUCUCUACCUCAUUCUGAAAUUCCUUGAACUUUUCAAAGGUCUUAGACUUGUGUUUCAUCAAGUAGACAUACCCAUAUCUAAUUAAGUCAUCGGUGAGAGUGAGAACAUAAUGAUAGCCACCGCGAGCCUCAACGCUCAUUGGACUGCACACAUCAGUAUGUAUAAUUUCCAAUAAGUUGGUUGCUCGCUCCAUUGUUCCAGAGAACGGAGUCUUGGUCAUUUUACCCAUGAGGCAUGGUUCGCACGUGUCAAAUGAUUCGAAAUCAAGAGACUCCAAAAGUCCAUCUAUAUGGAGCUUCUUCAUGCGUUUGACACCAAUGUGACCAAGGCGGCAGUGCCACAGAUAUGUGGGACUAUCAUUAUCAAUCUUACAUAUUUUGGUAUUCACACUAUGAAUAUGUGUAACAUCACGUUCGAGAUUCAUUAAGAAUAAACCAUUGACCAGCGGGGCAUGACCAUAAAACAUAUCUCUCAUAUAAAUAGAACAACCAUUAUUCUCGGAUUUAAAUGAGUAGCCAUAUCAUAUUAAACGAGAUCCAGAUACAAUGUUCAUGCUCAAAGUUGGCACUAACUAACAAUUAUUGAGGUUUAAAAAUAAUCCCAUAGGUAAAUGUAGAGGUAGUGUGCCGACGACGAUCACAUCGACUUUGGAACCAUUCCCGACGCGCAUCGUCACCUCGUCCUUCGCCAGUCUCCGCUUAUUCCGCAACUCCUGUUUUGAGUUACAAAUAUGAGCAACCGCACCGGUAUCAAAUACCCAGGAGCUACUAUGAGUACUGGUAAGGUACACAUCAAUUACAUGUAUAUCACAUAUACUUUAGUGUUGCCGGCCUUCUUGUCCGCUAAGUAUUUGGGGCAGUUCCGCUUCCAGUGUCCGCUUCCCUUGCAAUAAAAGCACUCAGUCUCAGGUUUGGGUCCAUUCUUUGGCUUCUUCCCAGUAACUGGCUUACCGGGCGCGGAAACUCCCUUGCCGUCCUUCUUGAACUUCUUCUUACCCUUGCCUUUCUUGAAACUAGUGGUUUUAUUGACCAUCAACACUUGAUGUUCCUUUUUGAUUUCCACCUCCGCUGAUUUCAGCAUUGAAAAUACUUCAGGAAUAGUUUUCACCAUCCCCUGCAUAUUUUAGUUCAUCACAAAGCUCUUGUAGCUAGGUGGGAGCGACUGAAGGAUUCUGUCAAUGACCGCCUCGUCCGGGAGGUUAAUGUCCAGCUGGGACAAGCGGUUGUGCAACCCAGACAUUUUGAGUAUGUGCUCACUGGCAGAACUAUUUUCCUCCAUCUUACAACUAUAGAACUUGUCGGAGACUUCAUAUCUCUCGACCCGGGCAUGAGCUUGGAAAACCAUUUUCAGCUCUUCGAACAUCUCAUAUGCUCCGUGUUGCUCAAAACGCUUUUGGAGCCCCGGUUCUAAGCUGCAAAGCAUGCCGCACUGAACGAGGGAGUAAUCAUCAACUGCCAAGCGUUCAUAACGUCUUGGUUCUCUGGGAUGGGUGCUUCACCUCGCGGUGCUUCUAGGACAUAUGCUUUCUUGGCAGCUAUGAGGAUGAUCCUCAGGUUCCGGACCCAGUCCAUAUAGUUGCUGCCAUCAUCUUUCAGCUUGGUUUUCUCUAGAUACGCAUUGAAGUUGAGGUUGACAUGAGCAUGGGCCAUUUGAUCUACAAGACAUUUUGCAAAGGUUUUUAGACUAAGUUCAUGAUGAUUAAGUUCAUCUAAUCAAAUUAUUAAUGAACUCCCACUCAGAUUAGACAUCCCUCUAGUCAUCUAAGUGAUACAUGAUCCGACUCAACUAGACCGUGUCCGAUCAUCACGUGAGACGGACUAGUCAUCAUCGGUGAACAUCUCCAUGUUGAUCGUAUCUUCCAUACGACUCAUGUUCGACCUUUCGGUACUCGUCAAGUCAACCUAAGUGUUUUGCAUGUGUAAAUCUUUCUUACACCCGUUGUAUGUGGACGUUGGAAUCUAUCACACCCGAUCAUCACGUGGUGCUUCGAAACAACGAACUUUCGCAACAGCGCAUAGUUAGGGGGAACACUUUCUUGAAAUUAUUGUGAGGGAUCAUCUUAUUUACUACCGUCGUUCUAAGCAAAUAAGAUGCAAAAAACAUGAUAAACAUCACAUGCAAUCAAAUAGUGACAUGAUAUGGCCAAUAUCAUAUUGCUCCUUUGAUCUCCAUCUUCGGGGCACCAUGAUCAUCUUCAUCACCGGCAUGACACCAUGAUCUCCAUUAUCAUGAUCUCCAUCAUCGUGUCUCCAUGAAGUUGUUCGCCAACUAUUACUUCUACUACUAUGGCUAACGGUUUAGCAAUAAAGUAAAGUAAUUACAUGGCGUUUAUUCAUUGACACGCAGGUCAUACAAUAAUUAAGACAACUCCUAUGGCUCCUGCCGGUUGUCAUACUCAUCGACAUGCAAGUCGUGAUUCCUAUUACAAGAACAUGAUCAAUCUCAUACAUCACAUAUAUAUCAUUCAUCACAACCUUUUCAGGCCAUACACAUCACAAGGCAUAUGCUGCAAAAAAAAGUUAGACGUCCUCUAAUUGUUGUUGCAUGUUUUUACUUGGCUGCAAUAGGGUUCUAGCAAGAACGUUUCUUACCUACGUAAAACCACAACGUGAUAUGCCAAUUUCUAUUUACCCUUCAUAAGGACCCUUUUCAUCGAAUCUGAUCCGACUAAAGUGGGAGAGACAGUCACCCGCUAGCCACCUUAUGCAACUAGUGCAUGUCAGUCGGUGGAACCUGUCUCACGUAAGAGUACGUGUAAGGUCGGUCCGGGCCGCUUCAUCCCAUGAUGCCGCCGAAACAAGAUAAUACUAGUAGUGGCAAGAAAAUUGACAACAUCUAUGCCCACAACAGGAUUGUGUUCUACUCGUGCAUAGAAACUACGCAUAGACCUAGCUCAUGAUGCCACUGUUGGGGAACGUUGCAGAAAAUAAAAAAUUUCUACAAUUCACCAAGAUCAAUCUAUGGAGUCAUCUAGAAACGAGAGAGAGGAGAGCAUCUACAUACCCUUGUAGAUCACAAGCGGAAGCGUUCAAGAGAACGGGGUUGAGGGAGUCGUACUCGUCGUGAUCCAAAUCACCGAUAAUCCUAGCGCCGAACGGACGGCACCUCCGCGUUCAACACAUGUACAGUUGGGGAAGACGUCUCCUCCUUCUUGAUCCAGCAAGGGGAAAGGAGAGGUUGAUGGAGAUCCAGUAGCACGACGGCGUGGUGGUGGAAGUAGCGGCGAUCUCGGCAGGGCUUCGCCAAGCUCAACGAGAGGGAGAGGUGUUACGGAGGGAGAGGGAGGCGCCAGGAGCUGGGGUGCGCAGCCCUCCCUCCCCCCUAUUUAUAUAGGGGCCUUGGGGGGCACCGGCCCCUAGAGAUUGAAUCUCAAGGGGGGCAGCGGCCAAGGGGGGGGGACUUGCCCCCCAAGCCAAGUGAGGCGCCCCCACCCCUAGGGUUUCCAACCCUAGGCGCAGGAGAGGCCCAAGGGGGGCGCACCAGCCCACCAGGGGCUGGUUCCCCUCCCACUUCAGCCCAUGUGACCCUCCGGGAUAGGUGGCCCCACCCGAUGGACCCCCGGGACCCUUUCGGUGGUCCCCGUACAAUAUCGGUGACCCCCAAAACUUUCCCGGUGGCCGAAACUGGACUUCCUAUAUAUAGAUCUUCACCUCCGGACCAUUCCGGAACUCCUCGUGACAUCCGGGAUCUCAUCCGGGACUCCGAACAACUUUCGGGUUACCGCAUACUAAUAUCUCUACAACCCUAGCGUCACUGAACCUUAAGUGUGUAGACCCUACGGGUUCGGGAGACACGUAGACAUGACCGAGACAGCUCUUCGGCCAAUAACCAACAGCGGGAUCUGGAUACCCAUGUUGGCUCCCACAUGUUCCACGAUGAUCUCAUCAAAUGAACCACGAUGUCGAUUCAAGUAAUCCCGUAUACAAUUCCCUUUGUCAAUCGGUACGUUACUUGCCCGAGAUUCGAUCGUCGGUAUCCCAAUACCUCGUUCAAUCUCGUUAUCGGCAAGUCACUUUACUCGUACCAUAAUGCAUGAUCCCGUGACCAAACACUUGGUCACAUUGAGCUCAUUAUGAUGAUGCAUUACCGAGUGGGCCCAGAGAUACCUCUCCGUCAUACGGAGUGACAAAUCCCAGUCUCGAUCUGUGUCAACCCAACAGAUACUUUCGGGGAUACCUGUAGUAUACCUUUAUAGUCACCCAGUUACGUUGUGACGUUUGGUACACCCAAAGCACUCCUACGACAUCCAGGAGUUACACGAUCUCAUGGUCUAAGGAAAUAAUACUUGACAUUGGAAAAGCUCUAGCAAACAAACUACAUGAUCUUGUGCUAUGCUUAGGAUUGGGUCUUGUCCAUCACAUCAUUCUCCUAAUGAUGUGAUCCCGUUAUCAAUGACAUCCAAUGUCCAUAGUCAGGAAACCAUGACUAUCUGUUGAUCAACGAGCUAGUUAACUAGAGGCUCACUAGGGACAUGUUAUGGUCUAUGUAUUCACACAUGUAUCAUGAUUUCCGGAUAACACAAUUAUAGCAUGAAUAAUAGACAAUUAUCAUGAACAAGGAAAUAUAAUAAUAAUCAUUUUAUUAUUGCAUCUAGGCCAUAUUUCCAACAGUGUGUGUUUUCGUGUGCCAUUCUUUGCUAUUGGUCUACUUGUUUCUCUUGUGAAUUUGUGAAUCUCUUUCAACAUUAUUGACUCUUGCUAACAUUUUGCAUCAAAUUUUUGUGCCACUAUCCUCACCGAGCUCCACCAUAAGCUUUACUUAUGUAGGUGUGAGAAAUUGACGAGAUCGGUACCAAUUGUGCUAUUUCCUUGUUACAUCAUUGAGUGAUCAUUGAUCCAUUUUCAACAUCGGUCAAGGUACAUUUGGUAUAGUUCUCUCCUUUCUUCCACUCAUAUAUGCUCGAGUCUUGUGAUGGAUAGAAAAGGCAUUUCAUCUUCGGUCUUCCACAACAACGACGGCGCGAACAACUACAUCACCAAAUCGUAAAUCUACAACGACAAAUGCAAGGCGCACAAUCAAGAUUGUGAGAGCACAUUGAGAACCUCUCCAUUGACAUUCGUCACUCCGAAGCAAGAAAAAGGGACUGCAUCGACAACAAGCUUUCCGCACAAAAGGAGGAACAAGAUGCAAGGAUGGAGGAUAUUCGGGCCUUAAUCAAGUAUACUUCCCCUUCAUCAUCUUCAAGGUGGCGACGUUCAAGCCACAAGUCUUCGGAGUGCGAAAAUGAUGCAAGCGCAAUUCGUCCACAUCCACAUCUUUGUGAUGACCACUGUCACAAUCAUGAUCAACAUCGUCAUGAAGGGAAAGUCACCUCCAAGCAACAUGUGCACGACGACGACGAACGACAUCUACUACGAGCUCAAGCACGACAACGACAUCAUCAUCAUGAAGAUGCUCCAUAAGCGUAAAUGCACAAGUCCCAACAAGCUCUACUUCACACCAAGUUGAAGCUUCAUGAGCAAAAGAGAAGACCGCGAGACGAGCACCACCAAGAUGGAGCUACAACUACACCAACCACUUCGGCAUCUUUUCCAAGUGUUCUCAAGGCAUCUUUGCCUUUGGACGUACGGCAUCUUUGCCUACUUCCCAUGAGUUCACCUACAUCGACAUCUUCAACAACAAGGCGACCACCUACAAGCGAGGGCGACACUUCCAUCUUUGGAAGACCCUCAAGGAAGAUGGCCGAGCAUGGAAAUUUCCCUUCGGUCAUGGCGACGAGCUACGAGGUGCCACAUCAUAUGGGCCUCCAACACCAAGACGGUGACAAGAAGGUCGAGCAAGGGCCAUCCCCUUCUACCACGGCGAUGAGCACGACCCUCUUCAACGACAUGAAGACGGUGCCCAUAUUGGACUCAUACUCCGAGUCAAGCUACGCGACCGGACAUGGAGACAUUUGCACCUACAUCUCUCCGACACCCACAUAUGUCAAGAUACCCCAUUUUUCAUGUGAGGAGAGCCAACACCACAUGAGUGACAUGAGUGAAUCCACCAUAUGUGACAUUGCGAGCAUUUCCUAUGAGAGGAUGAGUGUGACCACCACUAGCCCCGCGCAUGAGAGCAUGCCACACAUCCUGUGUGAGGUUGAGAGCCAUUCAAGUGACUCCACCAACCAUAUGAGUGAGAGCAUCCAAGAGGGAAUGAGUGAGCCACAACACUUAGUGAGUGAGGUAGUUGACACGACACGUGAGGCCACUAUGAUUUCUAACGACUUACCCUCUACUCCAAGUGUGUUUUCCCUUUUGGUGCUAGGUCUCCUACAUGACGAGAUGCCUAUCCUCAACGAGUCUAUACCUCCAAUAUGGAGACGACGAUGGCCAUGGUGGACAAUGAUGCACCCCCCACAUGGUUCCAUCAAGAUGAAGAUGACAACGAGUGGAUCUUUGACACCUCACCUACAACACAUGAGCGACGCUCCAAAGGUAACAUGGGUGAUGGUGCUUCUCUUGUCCCACUAGCGGACUCUAUUGACAUCACUUGCUCCCAUGAUGUUGAUCACCCUAUGGAUUCAUCACAUGCUAUGUCUUGCUUUGAUAUGCCACCCAUUUAUGAUGUAUAUGAUGAUGAGCAUGUUGAAUUGCCUAGUUGUGAUGCUAUGCUCCAUAGGAUAUCAUGUGAAAAUUCUAUUGGUCACAUCAUGUUUGACAACCCCUUAAACUUGUCAUAUGCUAUGAGUGAGAUCUCCCAUAUUGCUUCAUUUCAAUCUCAACAUAGUAACUAUGCAUGACCCAUUAAAGUAAACCUCAUUUGCACUUAUGGCAUAGAUGACGAGAUGAUGGUCAUUGGUUUUUGUUUCUCUUGUGAUGAUAUUACCAUGCUUCCUUUACAUGAUUUGCACAAUUCAUCUACUAUGCCAUGCCAUGAUCACAUUGUUCCAUAUAUGCUUCGUUUUGGAUGUUGUCAAUAUUCUCCAUGUGAUGUUUCGACUAAUGCUCAUGAGGAGACCCCCAUAGUUUCCUCAUACUCCCUCCGUCCGAAAAUAAUUGUCAUCAAAAUGGAUAGAAAGUGAUGUAUCUAUAACUAAUAUACGUCUAGAUACAUUCCCUUCUAUUCAUUUUGAUGACAAGUAUUUCCGGACGGAGGGAGUACAUAUUAGGAGAUUCUGAUGCAUUUGAUACUUUGCAUGAUUCCCAUAAUUGCGUGCACCAUAUGCAUUCCAUGGAUAACAAUACUCUACAUAUUUCUCGUGAUGUGUUACACAAUUUGAGUCUCCAUUAUUCUAUACAUAACAACAAACCCAUCAAUAUGGAUGAAAUGUUCCUAUAUCACGCAUCUCAUUUAUUUGAGCAUUGGAUAUUUGGUGCUAACCAACACAAGCACGUGCGCAUCAUGAUGGAUGAUCUGUACAUAAACCUUGCACACACCAUUUUCCCUUUGCCUUUGUCUUGUGCAGGUAUGUACUCAUGUAUACUCGUCAACCUCUCAAUCCCAAGAGUUGGCGAAGCGAGCUCUUGAUAGCAACGAUGAUUUGGGAUCCCGUGGACUAUACUUACCACCGUUGUCUUCGCGCAAGGACUACGCGCACCUCUUCUUCUUGGCUCUCACACGUCUAUGGGCUAUAUACCACUUGUUACAUUAUGCCCAUUUUAUCGUGUUCACUUUGCAUGUUAUGCCUCUUUACAUGACUUUGCCAUGCAAUUGUGACCCUUACUUGCACUUACAUAUGAUUCACCAUUCUACUACUUAUAUGUGUAUUUGCAUGCUCGGUGGAGAUACUUGUUUCUAUUGCCAUGUUUACCAUGUGCCACAUGCUAUUGUUGAUGGUUGUGUUGGGAGAGUCAUGAUGUCCCAUUGCUAUUUACAUAUGGCCUCUCGCCAAUACAUUAAUGAUUUUUUGCUCAUAUCUUGCUUUCAUGCUUGUGAUAUGUCAUGUGCAUUAUUCAUGACCACUAUUUGCACACGUGCCAUGAUUACCAUGAUUCCUCCUAGUACGUUGCAUCUUCGCACUACUAGCUUGCUUGACUUGAUCACUAUGAUUGCUUGCUUUGUCGCAUCACCGAUGUUCCAUUCUUACUCGCUUUCUUGGGUUGAUGACAUAUAUGUUCAUGCCUCUCACUUGAUUUAUCUUGCUUAUUAUCACUUGUCUCCAUUAGUUGCACAUCUCAUAUGCCAUUGUAGUGAGUGCACCCAUGCUAUGCUUAUUGAUCUUGGAGACUUGGACAUAUUACUUGUGAUGCAUGCUUGCUUGAUUAAGCCUAUUGUCUUUGGUUGUAGUUGCAUCAUAUGCUUUCAUACCAUACCACACCUUGUCCUUUCUUAUGAUAAGAAUGAUGAAAACACUUGUUGGGUAUCUCACCACUUGAAUGAUAGGUUUUGCAUUUAUGCUAACCUCGUUUGUUUUUCCGAGUGUUUGUCAUGUUCUUUCAUUUUGAGGGAUUCACAAGGCGGUGCCGUCAUGCGACAACUUGGUCAUACAAAGGUCUACGUGAUGCGCGACACCAACAUUUUCGACAUCCUCAUAAAGGUGAACUCCUUCCCUUUGAGCCAUCCUCAAUUACGCAUAUUCGAUGGGUCAUUCUUUCAUUGUUGUCUCCUUCUUCUUGUCUACAUGAUACAUCUCGCGAACGGAGGACCGACAUUGGAGAUGGACCCAAUGGACCUUCAAGUUGAGGAUUGCUCAGACUUAGUGGAUUCACCACCGGACCACCACUUCUACCAUGACAUUGAGCUAUGGUACAACACCACCCAUAACAAAUUUGCAUCUUAUGCAUGGAUUGACUCACAUUACGAUUGCCUUGUUGCAUCUUCCAUUUCUAUGUCAUCCAUGAUAUAUGAGCUUAUGCACUUCCUAAGAAAAUUUGUUGUGAUCCUUCUUGAUGGCGUAUUCAUACAUCAUGAAAAUAUUGUCCAUCGUCAAUUGCAUGAUCACAUAGUCACAUUGAGCACCAAUUACCAUGUUCAUUCUUUUGGUACAUCGUUCCAUUAUGACAUCAUUUUGCACAAUGGUUGCAUUGAUCAUAUUCACAACACCCUUGUGUGCACAAUGAAUGCUUUUGCUCCCAUGAAUGCUUUGCAUAUCAUUCUAUAUCAUCUUACUAAGCUUCAUGCACUUUGUCACAAACAAUCUUGCCCAACGGACCCAUACUUACUUGAUGGGCACAUUGUGUGCGCUAACCAUUGUAUUUCCAAGUGUCGUUUGCGUUUGCUCUUUUUGCAUGUGUACCACUCCGGAGAUACCUUGGAGUACUUGGAUGGCGCCAUGUCUUCCACUUCGUGAAGUCCGUCCAUGACAACCAUUUCCAUGGUGAUGAGGUUUUCGAUCCGAGGUCGGAUCUUUCCCAAGGGAGGGGAGAUGAUGUGGAGCAUCCUUCGAUCAUCCCCAUGUACACUAUGACUAUUCCCCAAGCCCCAAGUGGACAUACGUUGAGACCUCAAACAUGUACCAUUGGACAUCAGGUGAACUCUCUCCUUGUUAAACUUCCCUUGGACCCACAUGAGACAUGGCUACUACCUCAAACAAAGACACUUUGUGUGCUUACGUACCAAGGAACCAACAAUGAGAAGGAAUGGUGCAAGAUGGACACCAAGAGCAUGGAGACGGAUUUUCCCAGCACAAAAGAUAGAGGUACAACCGCCCAUGUACCGCCCAACUAUCGGUCGACCGGUACAACCGCCCAUGUACCGCCCAACUACCGGUCCACCGAUACAACCGCUCGACUACCACCCAACUACCGGUUCAACUUCUGUAUUCGAGCGGUGCAAGGCCGGUACCGCCCCGGUUUGUACCCGUAACAGCCAUAUGACCGGUACAACUGCUCCAACCCCCGGUACAACCGCUAGUGACUUCCGGGAACACCUCCAGAGACCAGUACAAGAGCUUCGGGCGGUACAACCGCCCCCGUGUCUGGUACAACCGCCCUGCCUAUGCGCAGAGAAAGGGGUUUCGCCCCAUGUAUCCCCCACUUACCCCUUGGACUAUAUAUACUUGUCCCCUAGCUCCGUAUUAGGGUUAGCAUUGUGAUAGCUCAUAUUUGAGAUAGAGCUUUGCUCAUCCACUUGGUUACUUCUCCAUCGGAGUCGAGCGCCUCUUCGGAGAAGAUCCCCCAAGCGGAUUCAAGACCCCAUCGCGGGAAGACCCUUCAAGACCUCCUCACGGAGAAGACCUUUUGUAUCAUUCUUUGUUGACCUUGAAUCGUGUAUCUCUUUGUGUUUCGAGGAUCUAGCACAUGUGUAAUCGAAUCUUGUUGGUUUGAGUGAUUCUCUCAUGUUUCCCCUCGUGAUUUUUCCUCGUGUUCUUCGUAGGAUUCCCUCCCAUCGUGAAAGAUCGGGCCGCUAGGGUUCUACCCUACAUCACCAUCCUUGGCGUCACCUCCAACUUCCCUGCGACGAUGAAACUAGCGAAUUCUUCUGCACGUCAACGAUAUGGACCAUUAGCGACGACAAGACUUGCCGCUUCUAGUGUGAUCACUGGUUGCGCGGCCAGUCCAUCUCUGAGUUCGCCCCUCACCUGAUCAACCUCAUUAUGUGUCCUCGCACGCUCGAUUGUGACGGGCUUGCGAAUCGAAGAUGGAUCGGCGACAUCCAUGGUACUCUCGGUCACAAGACUACAAUCGAGUAUUUGGACCUCUGGCAGCGCAUUCGCCAUGUCGUGCUCACUUCUGCUCCUCACAAAAUCGUUUGGAAGUGGUCACAAAACGACCAGUACUCCCCCCGAUCGUGCUACAAGACACUCUUUCAUGGUUCGACCAUGAUGUUGGCCUGGCGUCUGGUAUGGUGUUCUUGGUCGCUCUUCAACAACAAAUUCUUCCUAUGGAUCGCGUUCCUCAACCGCUGCUGAACUGUUGACCACUUCACACGUCAUGGCCUCCCGCAUGACCCAGCCUGUGUCAUGUGCUCCCAGGAGUUCGAGCCCAUUUACUAUCUGAGUUGCGGGUGUGUGUUCUCACGGAUCACUUGGCACAGUUCUAUCUUGCUGUCAUCUCCCUUUAGCACCUCCGAACGACAUGACGAGUUUCUUCGAAUGGUGGUCUGUAACUACUUCAUCUCCUCCUGCCAGCAUACGCAAAGGCAUCAAUUCCAUCAUCGGCCUAACUAUGUGCCUCAUUUGGAAGCACCGCAAUGCUGCAGUCUUCGACGGCUACGUCCAUCGACCGAAGACCUCGUCAACAGGAUCAAGGGUGAAGCACCGGUUUGGGUUAGAGUGGGCGCUAAGGGCCUGGAUAUACCAUCUUUCAUGUAACCUGAGAUCAUGUUGUAUCGAUGCUGACAACCUCCCUCUUCUACUCCUGUUUGCACCCUCUUUGACGCCGGUUUGUGUACGUCCUAGAGGGUUGCACCAUGUACUUUUUUUCCAUGGACGAAAUGAAAUGAUACGCUCCAAAAAACUUCCAUACUGUAUGAUAUGAUUAAUAAGCAGUAAAAUCGAAAAAACAAAACAAGAUGUACAUAUACUUGCGUGUUCAUUUAACGGCUCAGCACACACGCCCUGUCCUGUGCGCACACCUCCCCGCCGGCUCACGCGCCGGAGUGUCCCGCAUCCGCCGCUGCCGCCGCUCGCCCUCCUCCUCCUCCUCCUCCUCUACCUAGUUGACGUCCGGCUUGCGCCUCCGCAGCUCCUCCUCUUCAUCACGCUGAUGUCCAGCAUCCACCUCCGCCACUGCUCCACUAUGCCCAUGCCCCGCGUCUGCCUCCGCCGCCGCCUCUCCUCCUCCUUCUCCUCCUCCUUCUCCAACUGCACCUCGCCGCCCUCACCACCCUGGUCUCCCCACGCAGCCUUUGCCGCGGCCACAGAGCGCGUACGAGCCGGGACGCUCAGCCCGCAAGACGCACACCACCUGUUCGACGUAUUGUUUCAGCAGGCCACUCGGGUCCCCGAGCGCUCCCUUGAUGGAUUCCUUGCCGCCCUCGGCGGUGCUGCGUCCUCUGAAGCCUGCAGAGACGGCCCCGCCCUCGCCCUCGCCCUUUUCAACCGUAUCUUCCGAGAAGAAGCCGGCAUGCGGGUGGCGCCGCCCACCAUCUUCACUUAUGGCAUCCUCAUGAACUGCUGCUGCCGCGUACGUCGUCCGGACCUAGGGCUUGCCUUCUUUGGGCGCAUCCUUAGGGCGGGCCUGAAGACAAACCAGAUCGCGGCCAACACGGUCAUCAAGUGCCUCUGCUGCGCAAAACAUACUGACGAGGCUGUCAAUAUGCUGCUUCAUAGGAUGUCCGACCUAGGCUGUGUGCCUGAUGACUUCUCAUACAACACAGUUCUGAAGAGCUUGUGUGAAGACGGCAGGAGCUUGCAGGCGCUUGACCUACUGCUCCAGAUGGUGUCCAAGGAAGGAGGUGCCUGCUCCCCUGACACGGUGGCAUAUAGCACGGUCAUCCACGGCUUCUUGAAGGAAGGCAAAGUAGACAAGGCAUGCAAUCUAUUCAAUGAAAUGAUGCGGCAAGGGGUUGUGCCUGAUGUGGUGACCUAUGUUUUUAAGGCGGUAAGGCGAGGCGAGGCGCUGGGGGGGCGCCUCACUGCCUAAGCGCUGAGGCAUAAGGCGAGGCGACGCCUUAGAGACUUAUAAGCAACAGAAUUAAGUAGAAUUUGGUAGGCAUUAAGCAACUAGGCAUACAGCCAUACACACCUUGCAACUGAUUGUUGUAGAGCCCCCAUCCUCUUUGCACUUGCUUUUCUCCCCAACAACAUUCUGCAUCAACAUGACGUCAUGAACAAAUAUGUUAGAAUAAUGUAUCACUUACCAGUGCACAUUCCACAAAAAAUAGAAAUAAAAGUGAGGCAGCAAACAAAAGUGGAAAGAAAGAUAGCAAGUAUGAGUGCAACUGCAAUCUGCAAUGGUCCACAUAAGACAAACAGAAUAAUAGAUAAUUCCACAUAAGACAAACAGAAUAAUAGAUAAUUCCAGCAUAGCAAAAGGGAUAAAGGUGGCCAGCUCAGCUCUCUCAUGUCUCUCCACUCUCAAAGUCUCAAUCAAAAGUCAUCAUCAUCAAACUCAUUGGCAUUGGUGUUGUCUUCACCAUCUUGGUCAACAUUAGUUGGCUCUUGAUCGUCAUUGCUCACAUCAUCAUCAUCCUCAACGUAGUCUGAAUCCUCCCCCUCCGCAUUGGGCAUACUUGAGUGUUGCUCUUGCUCCAAGUCCUCCUCUACCUCAUCUUCUUCAGGAAUUAUAGGUCGUGUUGUAGUAGGUCUCUUGCGUGCGUAGUGCAGACGGACAUUUGUCUGGCCCCUACGAAGUGUAGUUGCUGUCCUAUGCAGAUUGCGGCCUCGAAGGUUUGAAGAUGCACCAAUAGCCACAUCAACAUCCUCCCAUGUAAUGUCUUGAUUGUCUUCAGGACAACCUCGAGCACCUUGAGGUUGUGAUAGUGAUGGGUCCACCCACUCAUUGCCCCAAUCAAAAUCCUCAAUGACCAAAGCCUCAAAGCUAUUCUCGCCCAUCUUCUCACGCCUCUUUUGAAACCGUUGCAUAUUCUUCCGGUUGUAUGAAACAAAGACAAGAUCAUUCAACCUUUUCCAUUGUAAUCUGUUCCUUUUCUUUGUAUGGAUCUACAAAGUAGAAACAACAAGUGAAAUAAGUAAAUAACUUGCUGAAAUCAUCAUUGAACAAACACAAAUACUGCUUUACUAGUUGACUUACAAAUUCAAACGUGCUCCAAUUCCUCUCACAACCAGAUGAUGAAGCACAAAGACUAACAAUGCGCUUUGCAAACCUUUGUAGGUCAAUGGCCUGACCACCAAAUGAACUCCACCAAUCAACUAAAAUGAUAAAAACUGACACAUAUUAAGAGUUUGUACAGAAAUUACAUUGCUGGAACUGGAAUUAACAUGCUGAAAUUAACAUGAUGCAUUUAAUAUGACUUACGAGGGUUUCUUGUGCUCAUGGUCUCGAGUGCCAAUGGAUUAGAAAAGCUUUCUCGCUGUUGCUCAUAGAGCACAGAUUGUUGAUCAAUCUUUUUUCGAACAUUGGCAUCCGGUACCAUUUUUGCAAGCACAUCAUUAAAGCAGCUCCUAAGCUCCCCAACUAAGGCAUCAUCAUUUCUGCUUACAAUAGGAAAGAACUUUCCUGGGUUCAAAAAUAGAGCAGCCCCAUACAAUGGAUGAUCCAUUUGAUUCUCCCAACGCUUAUCAACAAUGGCCAAGAUCUUCUUGAGCAAUGGUUGCUUGUUUUGUUGAGGGAAACCUAGAUUGAUCCUCUCCUUUGCAUAAAUCAUAAGUGCUUUAAUCUCUGGCAUGGCAGGCUUCUCAUCACCAUCUGCUACUCUAAGAACUCUAAGAAGUGGAGUUGAAGCUCUAAGGCAGUCCUCAAUUGCGCUCCACCACUCCGUUGAAAGUAUAAUCUCUUGCACAUUCAAGCCAACUUGUGUUUUUGCUAACUUGUUUCCAACCCAUUCUUCAGAUGUAAAUAAACUCCUCAAUGCAGCCUUGUUCUUGACCAAACUCCUAAGUGUGAGGAUGGCUGUGGCAAAACGAGUGGCUGCUGGUCUCACAAGAUCCCCACCCGUGGCCUUCCUCAUUAGACUAAGAAGUCUUCCAUGUCUAUAGAUGAAAGUUGUGACACGUCUAGCCCCUGCAAUAGGCUUCUUAAAUGCCUUCAACUUUCCUAUAUCUUCCAACAUUAGGUCCAAGCAAUGACAUGCACACGGGCUCCAAUAUAGAGUAGGCAUCCUCUCCAUUAGAAGGUGGCCAGAUUUCUUGUAAUUAGCACCAUUAUCGGUGAUAACUUGUACCACAUUCUCUUUUCCAACAUCCAGAAUUCUCUUCUCAAGCAAAUCAGCUAUCAUAUCACCAUCAUGACAUACACUUGAGGCAUCAACCGACUCCAAGAAGAAAGUGCCCUCUGGACUAUUAACAAGGAAGUUAAUCAAAUGGCGUCCUCUUUUAUCCGACCAGCCAUCCGACAUGAGUGUGCAUCCAUAUUUUUUCCAUGCUGCCUCGUGUUGCCUCCUCAAAAGUCCUGUUUCCUUCACACAAUCAUUAAGCAAUUUCUCUCUCAGCUCAUGUGCACUAGGAGGCUUGUAACCUGACCCAUAUUGACAAGAGGCUUCAAUUGCAACCUCAAACUUCCUACUACUUGCAGCGUUGAAUGGAAUGCCACACUCGUAAAAGAACAAUGCCCACUGCAUAUUGACAUACUGCCUCUCUUCUGGAGUCUUUGUGCUGGACUCCAUGGUGCUUUGAGAACACCCAGAGCGUCUUUCAUCUACAAGAUCCUCGGGUGUUCUUCGUAGCAUGGCAACAAUUGGCUUGGAACUAUUGGCGGCAGACACAACAGAAACAGACUUCUUUUUACCUUGCAUGUUGGUGAUAAACGCUUUUUUAUUCUGUUUGGCUGCUGUCCCUGAGCUUGGCCUUUUAGAGGCGAUGUUUGCUCCAACUGAACUCACCUCCACAACCUCCUGAACAUCAUCUACAUCUACUACUCCCUUGAUCCUCCUAUUUUGCUCCAAAUAUGUUCCCAUUUCUCUCCUCAAUUGUGUGGUGGCCUUAGGACAACCAAUUGCAUCUCCCCCGACGCCCGCAAGAUGCUCUUUAUGCCUCUUGAUCCCUCCAGAAGUUAUCUGGCCACAAAGAGCGCACACAACAAGAUCCCGAUUUGGAGGCUCAGACCAAUAUCCAUAGUUCCAUCCCGGAUCAUUUGACCGUUGUGGCUUCCUUGUUGGAUCUUUCAUUGGAUCGUAGGUGGGCUCACCCCCAUCAGCUGCUGCAUUUCCAUCCAUGGUGCUACACUUCUACUACCUGCAGCAAACAACCAAACACAAAGGAAUAUUAGCAUAACUGAUAAAAGGGCUGCCAUGGCAUAUGAAAAGGUUGUUGUGGCAGCAACUAAACUACUCUACUCAUGCAGAUGUAGCAAACAGCGACAAUCAACUAGCCAUUAAACUAAUCAGCAUUCAACUAGUCAUUAAACUAAUCCAUUGUUGAGCACAACACAUCAUGCAUCAGUAUUCAACUAGCCUUUAUUCUAAUCCACCCAACAGGCCAACAGCAUGCAUUAUUUUAUUCAACCAAGGAGCAUCCACUAAGGCACUAACCCCACUAUCAUUAAACUGAUCACUAACAUAUGCCUGGCCACUAAGGCACUAACCACUAUAAGAGACAAGUGAGCAACCACCAACCAGCUAGCACAAAACAGUCCAGCAAAGAAGAAAGAGAGCAGAGGAGGGUGUGGGAGAAGGGAGAGGGAGGUAUACCUUACUGUUGCUCUUGCUUGUUGUUGUUGUACUGCAGAGGAGGAGCUGCUGGACAGGAGGAUGAGGAGGAGCUGCUAGACAGGAGGAAGAGGAGGAGCUGCUGGAGAGGAGGAACCGUUGGAGAGGAGGGGGAGGAGCUGCUGGAGAGGAGGAGGAACCAGAUUUGCUGGAGAGGAGCCACUGAAGAGAAGGAGGGGGAGGAGUGUGUGGAUUGGGGGCUGUUUCUCUCUCUCUCUUUCUCCCCUCUUACCUGUUGGCGCCAACAUGAUUCCAGUUUCCCGCCAAAACUCUGUUUCCCGCCUAAAACAGCUCCCCUGCCUGCCUGGCAAGCUAAGGCGUCCAAAAUGGACUAAGGCAACGCCUCGGACGCCUAGGCAGACGCCUCGGACGCCUUAUAGCUUAAGGCGGACGCCUUAGACACCCACCUAAGGCGAGGUGGACGCCUUGCCCUCGCAGGGCGCCCUGACGCCUAAGCGUCGCCUAGGCGACGCCUUAGGGACGCCUUGAAAACAGAGGUGGUGACGUAUAGCUCGAUUAUCGAUGCAUUGUGCAAAGCCGGAGCAAUGCACAAGGCAGAGUUGUUCCUUCGGCAGAUGGUUCAUAACGGUGUUCGACCGGAUGAGGUGACAUAUACUAGCAUGAUCCAUGGAUAUUCCACUUUGGGCCGGCUGAAAGAGGUGCGUAAAAUUUUCAGAGAAAUGACAAGCCGUGGUCUUAUACCAGAUAUUGUCACUUGGAACUCGUUCAUGGACUCCCUUUGCAAGCAUGGAAGAACCAAAGAAGCUGCAAAGGUUUUCUUUUCCAUGGCUGCAAAGGGCAACAAGCCUAAUAUUGUCUCCUACACUAUUCUUCUUCAUGGGUAUGCCAAUGAAGGAAGCUUUGCUGAUAUGAUGAGUCUCUUCAAUUCAAUGAAAGGCGGUGGCAUUGUAGCCAACUGCAAAGUUUUCAACAUAUUAAUUGGUGCAUAUGCUAAACGAGGGCUGAUAGAUGAAGCUAUGCUCAUACUUACUGAAAUGCGGGGACAAGGACUGAGUCCGGAUGUAGUCACCUAUUCAACUCUAAUAUCUGCACUUUGGAGAAUGGGUAAGCUGACUGAUGCUAUGGAUAGGUUCAGUCAGAUGGUUGUUGGUACGGGAGUACAGCCGGACACAGUUGUUUAUCACUCCCUAGUUCAGUUCUUAUGUACACAUGGUGAUUUGGUGAAAGCGAAGGAGUUGAUUUCUGAAAUGAUGAAUAAAGGUAUUGCUCGUCCAAACACUGCACUCUUCAGUUCAAUAAUGGACAGUCUACGCAAUGAAGGAAGGGUUAUAGAUGCACACCAUAUCUUUGACUUGGUUAUAGACAUAGGUGAGAAACCUGAUAGCAGUAUGUUUAGUACGCUGAUUGACGGAUAUUGCUUAGUCGGUGAGAUGGACAAAGCAUGUGGAGUACUUGAUGCCAUGGUAUCAGCUGGCAUUGAGCCUAAUGUCAUUACGUAUAGCACACUUGUCAGUAGAUAUUGUAAACGUGGAAGGAUCGCUAAUGGGUUGAUUCUGUUCAGACAAAUGUUGCAUAAGAAAGUUAAACCUACAACUGUUACAUAUGAAACCAUACUGAAUGGAUUAUUUCGUGCUGGGAGAACUGCUGAUGCGAAGAAAAUCUUCGAUGAGAUGAUCGAAAGUGGAAUAAUGGUGAGCAUUUCUACAUAUAAUAUAAUUCUUGGAGGACUUUGUAGAAAUAAUUGCGCAGAUGAAGCGAUUGUCCUAUUCCAGAACGUGCAAUGAAUAUGAAGUUCAAUAUCACAACACUCAAUACCAUCAUUAAUGCAUUGUACAAGGUUGAAAGAAGAGAAGAAGCUAAUGAUUUGUUUGCUGCAUUACCAGCCAGCGGGUUGGUGCCUAAUGCUUCCACUUACGGAGUAAUGGUACAAAAUCUUCUAAAAGAAGGAGCAGUGGAGGAAGCUGACAGUAUGUUCUCAUCAAUGGAGAAGAGUGGCUGUGCUCCUAGCUCUCGUCUUAUAAAUGAUGUCAUCAGAACUUUAUUGGAAAAGGGGGAGAUAGUCAAGGCCGGAAAAUAUAUGUCUAAAGUUGAUGGGAAGAGCAUCUCACUUGAAGCUUCAACUAGUUCGUUGUUGUUGUCUCUCUUUUCAGGGAAUGGGAAAUAUCGGAAACAACUACAAUUGCUCCCUGCAAAGUACCAAUUUUUUAAAGGAAUCAGUUGAUGCGCUGGACUUGGCAGAUAAGCCUUGUCAUGGUUCAGAUCUCCCUCUCAACGAUGUAGACAAGUCUCUUCUGUGUGCUUGCCAAUAUUGAGCUGGGUGACGGUGCCACCGUGGUGUUCUUGUCGGUGCUUAGCUGUUGGGUGUGCAUCCUAUGGCCAUUGUUCCUGAUCUGCAGGCCACCUCCACAAUGGCGGUCUGGUGCAUGACGCAUUUGCUAAUGGUGAAAAGAUUACUAAUAUUUGGGAGCAUAUGCACAUCACGGCGGAUUUCAUCCCUGAGUUAAUCGAGCUGAAUUAACAGUGUUUGCAGUUUUGGACAUGUAUGACCAUUGACAGCUCAAUGCUGUCUCUUUCUAAACUACAGUAACAAAUUACCACAGGACCUCAAAGCUAUCUUAUAAAAAAUUAAAAUUAUCAUUUUAUCAGUUGAUUUUCUAUUGUUAAACAAUAUGUGUGUGACUUAUUCGAACAUGGCAUGAAUGCCUAAUCUUGGGUUCAGUUCCUUUUGUUUUUUAAGCUUGAAUUACUAAAUAUCUCAAUCCGAAAGUUCAUGGGUGCAACGCAUUGGAAUUUGUUCUAUCAUACUAAAACAUCUGUUUGCAAGUGCUUCAUGUUACUUUGCAUUUCCAGGGAUGUAUCUCACCACAAUCUUUCAGGGUCAGUACCUGAUUUUCUGAGUCCAAUACCAUCACGUACAUCUAUGUAUGUGACAAUCCUGACCUGACUUCGUUUUUCCAAACUGUGCAGCACGGAACCUUUAAAUCCUUUUAAUUUCUUCAUCUGUCAAGUUGAUUCGUCAAGAAAACAUCAGUUGAUGAAUCAGGACUGGUUGCUGAAACUAAGGUUUGCACCCUUUUUUACAACAUCAUGGAUGCUUUGAUGGAGGCAAUGGAUAGCAUUAAAUGACUAGUUUUGGGGGGAAUUUGUCGUAUUCGUACGGUGUGCCAACCGACAUAGGUUGCACCUGAUUAUAUCUUUAAGGUCUUACUAAAUUGUAUCAUGCAAUCUCAAUUUUUGUUUAGGAAUAAUUGCCAAAUUCGGUCCUGCUUACCUACUGCAAGAUUUUUAUGUUUGCUGACUUAACAUGUUUUUAGCUUAUAUGUGAUAAUUGUACCUGGCCAUCUCUUUAUGAACAGAUCCAUCUCUUUAUUACCAGAUUAUUCAGAAACAAUGGGAGUACAUCUUAAAUCAUAAGAAUAAGACAUUGCAAAAAUACAAGGUAGCGGCUUCAUGAAAUUUCAUAUUUGCUCCCGAGCUCAAAUUCUGUUUCCAUCAUUCAUUCGUUGCAUUUGACAAAGUGAUUGCCCAUUCCGGAGCCCAGGCUGCAUUCACGCACCAUUGAGCGCACUUUAGAAGACAAUCAAACAAGUACAGUGCGUUUUUCUGAGAGUAUCUGUUAUGACCGGUUUGGUCUAUAAUCGGAAGAGGCCCACCGGGCAUUAAUAUUAGGGGCUUGACCCACAAGUUAUCUUAGGCAAGUUAUUUUAGGCAAGUUAUCUUAGGCUAAAGUUAUAAAUACUAGUUGUAAGACAUCGUUUGAGAUCAAGCAAUAAAGAUAUUAUCAUCUUCGGUUGCCCGGCUCCCUGAGGAGCCGGAACCCUAGCCGCCACCAGCCAACCGCCGCCGCACCUAAACCCUAGCCGCAACGGCGCCCACUCGCCGGCGCGCCCGCUCCAGCCCUCGUCCACCUCCUCCUUGUCCCUAUAACCUGUGUAGCCGCACUGGUAGGAACCCUAGUCCUACCAAUUUGGUAUCAGGUACCCGGGUUUCGACCAUGUCUUCGCCACCUCCAAUUCCGCCACCGCCGCCACCACCGCCGCUGCCCGUCAACUCCACCACCGCCGCUGCCGCCAACUCCUCCACCCCCGCCGCUUCCGCGCCGGGCGUCAUGGCCUCUCUCUCGGCGGGCGCCACGGCGUCGCUCUCGGCGCCCGGCACCGCGCCGGGCCACGGGCGGCCACCGGCCCCCAUCCAACAUACGCCGCCGCCGUCACCUCCCCUGCAGCCGCAGCAGUUCACACAGGAGGCAAUGGUCGGCAUCCUCAACGACCUCGUCGCCGCGGUCCAGGGCAUCCGCCUCUACCUGGCAGGUCCGUACGGGCCGCCUCCACCACUCCAUCCAGCCAUCGCCGCGACUCCGCAGGCGCUGUCGUGGUACUCGGUACCGGGGGCCAUCACCGGAGACUACCCGACGCUCCCCAUCCCGGCGGCUGCACCGCCGCCUUGGCCACAGUGGCCACCGCCGCUCGCGACGGCAACUGCGCCACUCGCCGCCACCACGGGGCCGCAGUGGCCCACCUGGACCGCGCCGUCUCUCACCGCGCCGUCCCUUCCAGCGGCCACAGAGCAGGGUCCUCCACCGCCCCAUCCCAGCCCUAACCUGGGUCGGUCGUCGCCGAGCGGGCUUCCAAUCCAGGAGGUCCGCUUUCCGUCAUCGCCAUCGCCAAUCCCCAACUGGCUUCACGGGCCGCCAUCGACCUACCCGAGGGCCCGCCCGCCGUCCGGUUUCCCAUUGCAGCCCGAGGCGUCGGGCGCCACCAGGAACUACGCCGGGCCUUCCACCAUGGACCGCGCACCAUCAUCCGCCCUACGCACCGCCGAGGCAGUGGGCCAGGGCGCGCCACACCAGCAGCCGCCCCGGUUCGCCAAGAUCGAUCUCGCCACAUCCGACGACCCGCUUAACUGGCUCAACCAGUGUGACCAGUUCUUCUGCGGUCAGCGCACACCCGCGUCGGAGCGUACUUGGCUGGCUUCCUACCAUCUCCGCGGGGCCGCCCAGACAUGGUACUACGCCCUCGAGCAGGACGAGGGCGGCAUGCCCCCGUGGGAUCGUUUCUGAUAGAUGUGCCUUCUUCGUUUCGGGCCACCGGUCCGCGGGAGCUGCUUGGCCGAGUUGGGCCGCCUGCCAUUCACCUCCACGGUGCAGGACUUCGCCGACCGCUUCCAGGCCCUGGCGUGCCACGCGCCCGGUGUGACGGCCUUACAGCGGGCGAAGCUUUUCAUCGGCGGCCUUCUCGACCACAUCCGCGUGGACGUCGAGAUGAAGGGGCCCCAAGACCUUCAGACGGCCAUGUACUAUGCUCGGGCGUUCGAGCAGUGCGCCCAGGCCUUAACGCGUCCAUCCGCGCCACGUGGGGGCCGACAGCUUCCCCGGCCGUCUCCGGCAGCACCGACGUCGUCCACAGUCGCCCCGGCACCCACCCCGGCACCGACGCGGCCAUUCAGGCGCCUCACUCAGGCAGAACAGCUGGAACGUCGGCGCCUGGGCUUGUGCUUCAACUGUGAUGCGCCCUAUGCACCGGGCCAUGUCUGUCCCCGCCUCUUCUACUUGGAGACGACAGACGAGACUGAGGAGGACACACUGGAGGAUGGCCUCGGCGCUCCAGCCCUUGCGGAGCCCGCAGCAGCACCCGCGCCCGCCCCGGCCACCGCCCUCGUGGUGUCCCUACACGCGCUGGCCGGCAUCCGUGAUGAACGGACGAUGCUCUUACCGGUCAUGAUCCAGGGCGAGCGCCUGGUGGCCCUAGUGGAUACAGGGUCCACGCAUAACUUCCUGCCGGAGACCACCAUGCGGCGCCUUGCAUUACAGCCAACCGGCGGUGAGCAGUUGCGAGUCACAGUCGCGAAUGGCGACCGUCUACGCUGCCAUGGGCUCGCCCGCGACGUGCCCAUCACUAUCGGCGACGAGCACUUAACCAUCACCUACGCCGACAUCGACUUGGGCUGCUUCGACUUCAUCCUCGGCGUCGACUUCUUGCGCACUCUUGGUCCUAUUCUAUGGGAUUUCGACGCGCUGACAAUGACCUUUUGGCGGUUGGGCCGCCGCAUUCGGUGGGACGGCAUUGGGGGUGCCGCCCCAACCACUCCACUCUAGCUGGCCAUGACCACCGCCACGGCCGAGCACCCACUAUUGGAGAGCCUCCUCCAGCAGCACGCGGACAUCUUCACCGAGCCACAGGGGCUGCCGCCCGCCCGCACGUACGAUCACCGUAUACAUCUUCUGCCAGGCCCCGCGUCGGUGGCGGUACGGCCUUACCGCUACCCACAGUUGUAGAAGGAUGAGUUGGAGCGGCAGUGUGCGCUCAUGCUCGCGGCAGGCAUCAUCCGGCUCUCCACUUCGCCAUUUACCGCGCCGGUGCUUCUCGUCCGGAAGUCAGACGACACAUGGCGUUUCUGCAUCGACUACCGUGCCCUUAAUGCUGUUACACUUAAGGACAAGUUCCCUAUUCCGGUGGUCGACGAGCUCCUCGAUGAGCUCCACGGGGCGCAACUCCCGUUUACCGGAGGAACACUUUGUGUGCUACCAAACAUCACAAUGUAACUGGGUGAUUAUAAAGGUGCUCUACAGGUGUCUCCGAAGGUACUUGUUGAGUUGGCGUAUUUCGAGAUUAGGAUUUGUCACUCCGAUUGUCGGAGAGGUAUCUCUGGGCCCUCUGCUUCUUCACCAAACUCGACCUCCGGUCGGGGUACCACUAGGUGCACAUGCACCCGGAUGACAUCGCCAAGACGGCGUUUCGCACUCAUCACGGCCACUUCGAGUUCUUUGUGAUGCCCUUUGGCCUCACCAACGCUCCGGCGACAUUCCAGGCUCUGAUGAACGACGUCCUCAGGCCCUACUUACAUCGGUUUGUGCUCGUUUUCUUUGAUGAUAUUCUAAUCUACAAUGCGUCUUGGGCCGAGCACCUCCAGCACGUCGCCAUCGUCUUCAACGAGCUUCGAGCGCACCACCUCCACCUUAAGCGCCCGAAGUGCUCGUUCGGGACGCCUUCGGUGGCCUACUUGGGCCACGUCAUCUCGGCCGACGGGGUGGCUAUGGAUGCCGACAAGGUGGCAGCUGUCUCUGCAUGGCCGACGCCUCACUCGCCGCGGGCUCUCCGCGGGUUCCUCGGCCUCGCCUGCUACUACCGGAAAUUUAUCCGGGAGUUCGGGCUCAUCGCGGCACCCCUCAAGCGGUUGCUUCGCCGCGACGCUUUCGCCUGGGACGACGAGGCGACGACGGCGUUCGAGGCCCUCAAGGGGGCCCUCACGACGGGCCCCGUCCUCACGAGGUUAACAAGGUCAUUGCCAUGUAUUUGCGUUGUGUGACAGGUGAUCGGCCUCGCGCUUGGAUGGACUGGCUCUCUUGGGCGGAGUACUGCUACAACACCUCUUAUCACUCCGCCCUGCGUGCUACGCCGUUUGAGGUGGUCUAUGGUCGACCACCCCCGCCUAUACUUCCGGUGGAUCCAGAGACAGCUCGGACGGAGGUUGCGGGUGACCUCAUCCGCACUCGUGACGAGAUGCUUGCUGAGGUUCAUCAGGGUCUCCUUCAGGCCCAGCAGCUGGCCAAGCACUACUACGAUGAUCAUCAUCGCGAGGCGGAGUUCGCGGUGGGUGAUUGAGUGUGGUUGCGUCUUCUCCACCGCUCUACGCAGUCACUCGACCCGCGCGCGAAGCACAAGCUCGGCCCUCGCUACGCCGGGCCCUUCCCUAUCUUGGAGCGCAUUGGGAAGGUGGCCUAUCGUCUUCAGCUUCCAGCCCGCGCUCGCAUCCACGACAUCUUCCAUGUGGGGCUGCUCAAGCCUUUCCGUGGCGAGCCACCGGCGGCUCCUCCGGCGCUUCCUCCCAUCGCCGAUGGUCGCAUUCUUCCAGAGCCGGCAAAGGUGUUGCAGGCGCAGCUCCGUCGUGGUGUCUGGUUCGUCCUCGUUCAGUGGGCAGGCCUUCCGGAGGAGGAGGCUACUUGGGAGCAGCGUGAAGAAUUCCGCCAACACUAUCCAGACUUUCAGCUCGAGGACGAGUUGUUUGCGCAGGCGCGGGGAGAGAUGUUAUGACCGGUUUGGUCUAUAACCGGAAGAGGCCCACCGGGCAUUAGUAUUAGGGGCUUGACCCAUAAGUUAUGUUAGGCAAGUUAUUUUAGGCAAGUUAUCUUAGGCUAAAGUUAUAAAUACUAGUUGUAAGACAUCGUUUGAGAUCAAGCAAUAAAGAUAUUAUCAUCUUCUGUUUCCCGGCUCCCUGAGGAGCCGGAACCCUAGCCGCCAUCAGCCAACCGUCGCCGCACCUAAACCCUAGCCGCGACGGCGCCCACUCGCCGGCGCGCCCGCUCCAGCCCUCGUCCACCUCCUCCUUGUCCCUAUAACCUGCGUAGCCGCACUGGUAGGAACCCUAGUCCUACCAGUAUCAUCUUUUCGUCUGAGAGUAAGGCUGGUGUUCUUCUGAUCUUGUCAUCUCUUUCCCCUGCUUUUUGUUUCAUUUGAGUUCUAUUGUCCUUGAUGAUAUGUUGGGGUAGCACCAAUUGAAGAGAAGCUUGUCCAACAUCGUCUGAGAUGGUUUGGGCAUAUUCAGCGCAGGCCUUCAGAAGCUCCAGUGCAUAGCGGACGGCUAAAGCGUGCGAGAAUGUUAAGAGAGAGCAUCCCCACAUCUGCGUCCAUUUCCUGCAACUAGGCAACCGCAUCGUCUUCUUUCCCGUGAUUCUAAUCUCUUUCUCUUGCAUCUCUUUUUCCUGCUACAGAUCAGGCGAGGGCGUUGGAAGCCGGCCGUCGCCGCUGCUCACACCAGGCAGCCGGCCGCCUGCCGGCCGCCCCGCCGCUCACAACUCUCCCGCCCUUGCAUCUAGAUUGGGAUCGCCGAGCAACCCACCGUUGUCAGCGACAUUCCUAAGAUCCGUGUGUUUCAUUUGAGUUCUAUUGUCCUUGGCCCCAUCCUUUUUACGCUGAUAAAUCACGUUGUCUUAAUCCAGUGUAUCCAUUUGGCAGCAUAUAUCCGUGUUUGACAACCCUGCAGAGAGAAUCCGUUGCAGUUACCAUCCUUCCUUUUUAACUUACUUUGCCAAUAAGUAAAGAAUUGCGGAAACAAUAACUUGCAUUGUUUGUUUAUUGCAGCAUUGAUCAACAAUGGCAAGAGUGCCAUCCUCAUCAUCAAUCUCACUCUGGUCAGAUGGGCACGCCUUGAAUUGUAUGCAUCGGACUCAAGGAUUCAGCAAGACGAUGGGCGCCCUCACCUGUGCCUAUUGAAAUUUGAGCAUAAUUCCUCAUAUGCUCAGCUCAUUUUGACUGGUGGCCUGCCAGACGAGGCUCGAGCCUCGCCUCUGUCAGUUUGAAGGAACACUGCGUAGCGACGACAAGAGCUUGAACAAAGAUGCUGGCGUGGGCGUGGUUGGCUGUCAGAGGAAAGUGCUUGACCAAAGAUAAUUUGGCUCGCCUCUAUGGCCGGGAUCAGCCAACUUGACCGGAUAUUCAAGCCCCCUUUGAUACAUUUAUCUAUCUACGCACUCCCUCCGUUCCAAAAUAGAUGACCCAACUUUGUACUAACUUUAGUAGUUAAGUACAAAGUUGGGUCAUCUAUUUUGGAACGGAGGGAGUAUUUUUUUAGCUAGCCGUUUAUACCGGUAUCCAGCACUGGGUUAUCUUUCUUUUUCAGGAAAAGCUUACCUUCAACCGACCGAUGGGGGGCGCACGUCCGCCAACUCCGUGUCCGUCGGAUCAAAUGUUGAUCACACGGUCAAGAGCAUCCCCACAUCUGCGUCCGUUUCCUGCAACUAGGCAACCGCAUCGUCUUCUUUCCCGCGAUUAUAAUCUCUUUCUCUUGCAUCUCUUUUUCCCGCUACAUAUCAGGCGAGGGCGUUGGAAGCCGGCCGUCGCCUUUGCUCAUACCAGGCAGCCGGCCGCCCCGCCGCUCACAACUCUCCCAUCCCUGCAUCUAGAUUGGGAUCGCCGAGCAACCCACCGCCGUCAACGAUAGUUCUUGAGAUCCGUGCGGUUCGGUCGUCGCUCCAGCGCCGCGUGGCGAGCGCACAACCUCUCCAUCGGCGUCAGCAGUGUCGGAGGAGCCCUCCCCACUGGCUCCGCCACAGCCCAUGCGUAGCGUGUUUACAAGCUUUGCAACGUUGCCAAUGUUUCUGAAACAAAGCUCUCAUUGCAAUAGUCAGUCAUGUUUCUAAAACAAAGGUCUUGUUGCAGAGCGGGAUCAUAUGCCAAGCUGCUUUGCAACGUCACCAAUGUUUCUAAAACAAAGCUCUUGUUGCAAUGGUCAGCGAUGUGUUUAUGAAACAAAUCUCUUGUUGCAAUAGCAGCAAUGUGUUUCUAAAACAAUGUUCUUUUGCAACAGUCACCGUUAUUUUCUGAAACAAUACUCUUGGUGCAAAGAGGCAUUGUACGCUGGACUAUGCUGGGCAACCUAGAUCGGACGGCUGGCGGGGCAGCGGAUCUUUUUCCGCCGACCGACGCAUAGCACGCCCCUUCUUUUUCUGAACAAAAAGUAUUAGCUGGCUGUUUAUACUGGUACCCAGCGCCAGGUUUUCCCCUUGUUUUGCCUUGUGAACCCUUGUCAUUGCUCUCUCUUCUUCAUGAAUGAAAUACAGCACUGUCCUGUUGUUUCAUCGAAAAUUUACAUGACCUCCGUGUCAGUUUAUCACGCAACUUAAGCGCAUAGUUUAUUUAUGUACAGAACAAGCUGAGGAAGGAGAUGAAGAAAAAGAAUGCAGGAUGCCUAGCUUGUGACUUGGGAGUGCAGGACUCUGGUGCAAUAUAUGUAUCAUCACAGGAGAAUCAACCAUUUGUGAGACUUUAGUGGCCUUUCUACCGCUGCAUAUGACUGUUCAAAAAGGAAAAAAGUGCAUCCACUAGACGCGCCAUCUGUUUCCUGUCCAAGCAACAACACGAUCACUCACUCGGGCAGCCUAUGAACAUGUGCCCAGCUAGUGAACAAGGUAAUCGGUUGUCAGUAUCAAAGAUCAUCGCUGCUUUAAACAUCUCAUAAUCAAAUCAAACGUUGAUAGCAUGGCUCUAUCUCGAGCCACCCAGGGGUUUCCGGAUCCCGAUGCGCCUCCGGUGCGCGCUUUCUGUCACCCCAAACGUACUUUCACGUCCCAGAGAAGUGAAGAGAAAACACCUCAAGAAAAGGCAGGCACUCCAGGGCAGUGAAAAAGAAAAGAAUAUCUUUAAAGUAUAAUAUGCGGUUAGCGGCGCCACAUUUGUCAUUAGAGCAAAUGAUCGCACUCACUGCUUUAAGCUGAUUGGCCGCGGCAUCCUGAUUGAUGAGCUUAUCCUGCCCAAAGAGAAUACACAAAUCAUCAAAGAGAAAGAAAGAAAAGGUGGUGAGCAAAGGAUGAAAAGUGGAUGCAUUAUGCAUACGAUGCGCUUUCCAAUUGCCACUGAUCCGGGCAGCAAGACGACUGGCUAGGACCCUCCUUCCAUCUUUUCUACUUGCAUGCAAAGUGAUACUGGUGUUGUAUGGCUAUAAAGCAAAGCAAGCCUGCUUCGUGCACUCUGAUGUAAGGAGAAGAAGAAAGAAAGAAUGAAAGGGCCAUGGUCGUCCAGAAAGCCGGAAUCCGGAUGCCCAGACCUAUCUCUUGUGUUUAUGUUUCUUGCUUCAUGAUUAAGCAUCCGGGCAGCGGCUAAGGCACCCGUGCAUCGAGGACGAUGCCGCGCCGUAAUUCCGAUGCUUUUUGGCAAUGGAGAAUCGAUGCCAAACAUGGAAAUCUGUGGGGAGGUUUUAUUCUUAUUCCAGCAAAUAAGAAAACAAAUAUAUGCUUCUCUCAAAUAUAUACUCCCUCCGUCCCAAAAUUCUUGUCUUAGAUUUGUCCAAAUACGGAUGUAUCAAGUCACGUUUUAGUAUUAGAUACAUCCGUAUCUAGACUAAUCUAAGACAAGAAUUUUGGGACAAAGGGAGUACAUCCUUGUUUAUUGGUUUUUUAUUAUAAGGCCUGAUGCUCUUGAAUUCUUAUCCUGUGGACUGGCUGAGCUUUAGUGGAUGUAAGAUGUGAAAAUGGCAACGCUUCCCAUUUUACUGCAAAAUGGUAUUCUUGCAAGAAAGAAAGAAGGAAAUAGAGUGCCGAGGCGGAAAAUACGGUGACGGGUUGAAAGCAUACACGUAGCGCGAAAAAGGCCAAAGUUCGAACCAAAACAAAGUAAAUAAAGGCAAGGGUAGGCGCCUCAGAUUUCCCAAAACCACCACGGCAUUAUUAAAGAACGGCCUCCACAAAGGCAAAGCCAAAGCCAGCGUUAGAAUACCCACAAGUACGCCGCAUUGCAGGGACACACACACGCACAGUCACCAGGAUGCAAAAGUAGUUCUCCAAGGCAAGAAGAAAGGCAAAGCUUGCUUUGCACCAGGCCGCUCCAGGACACACUACCACCAUCCCAAUCAGUAGAAGGGGGAGUGAGAGUGAGACAAGCCAAAUCAAAUGAAGGGCAACAAGAGCCAAGAACACCAUAGGUAGCCAUAUCAUAUAAACCAAACCAAAGGCCAGCAGGCAGCAGCAGUGCACAUAAGAACAGAGCAGGAGCAGGGGAAGGAGCAAGAAGAACCUGAGCAGGAGGAGCAGGAGCUGGACCGAGAUGGACGGCAUGUACUACCCUCAGCGUUUCAGCAACAUGAUGAUCGGCUACCUCAACCUGGCCACGCUCCUGGCCUCCAUCCCGGUCAUCGGGGCGGGGCUCUGGUUGGCCAAGGGCUCCACGACGACGUGCUCGUCCAUGCUGCAGACGCCGCUGCUCAUCAUCGGCUUCAUCGUGCUCCUCAUCUCCCUCGCCGGCUUCGUGGGCGCCUGCUUCCACGUCGCCUGGGCGCUGUGGCUCUACCUCUUCGCCGUGAUACUCCUCAUCGGCAUGCUGCUCGGGCUCACCAUGUUCGGGUUCGCCGUCACGGCGGGAGGCGGCGGCAUGCAGGUGCAGGGGAGGCCGUACAGGGAGUACCACAUCUCGGACUACUCCUCGUGGCUCCAGAAGCAUAUGCAGGACAUCAAGUACUGGAAGCCCGCGCUGGCCUGCGUCGUCGGGUCCAAGGCCUGCCCCAAGAUCGCCAACUGGACUCCCAUGGAUUACCUCCAGCAUGAUCUCACGCCAAUACAGGUUUGCAUUUCACCUACUGCUCAUUUUCUUCCAUAUUUGCUCCUCUUGCUAUUUGUCUCCACUGCUUUCAGCACUUGUAGUUGUAGUACAACAGAACUGAUAAUCUCAACUAUAGCCGCCCGGCACAAACAUAACAAAUUGUCAAAGAAAUGGAAACAUAAAAAAUAGCUAAACAAUGAAUUGAUCCAGUUCACCAGUUGCAUCUAUGUAAAUUUAAAUACCUCAAGCACAGGUUUAUGUUCAUUGUCUAUUUGGACAAAAACAUCAAAUUUAUUGGCCACCAAGAUUCAAAACCCAGUAAAGAGUGUGACCUCAGGACAAAUUUUGAACCCAUUUUCAGAUAAACUAAACAAACUAGGUCUAGUCAAUCUCUAGCUCAGAGCAUCUUCAGUGCUCCUGCACCUCUGCUACUUUAAUACAAGUUGUAGUUCUAACUAAUAGCUUUGCUUCUAAAAUUACUAAUGGAACUAUGCACUAUCAUGCAGUCUGGGUGCUGCAAGCCGCCAACAUCAUGCGCAUACAGUGGGGGGAUGCCGGUCGGAGCGCAGGAUGAGGACUGCUACCAGUGGAACAAUGCCCCAAACAUCCUAUGCUACCAGUGUAACUCGUGCAAGGCCGGCGUGAUGGAGCAGGUGCGCCAGGACUGGCACAAGAUCUCCGUGCUAAACGUCAUCGUGCUCGUCUUCCUCAUCUGCAUCUGCGCCUGCGGGUGCUGCGCCUUCAGAAACGCCCGCCGCUCUGUCUCCGAGUACCCAUACGGGGUAAACCGCAUGUCCAAGAUCAAUCCACGCUGGGACUACUACUGGUACUUUCAGCCAAAAAUAAAAACAAAAUAAAAUUGCCACUCCAUUUCUGUUUGAUUGCUGCUUUUCAUUGGCAUUUGUUUUCUUUUCAGAUGUUUGGUUUCAGCCCCAAAAAUGCAUUUCCAGUGUCAUGAUUAAAGCGAAAAAAUGGAUUAGUUUAUUUCUGAAUAAUUUCUGAAUAGUGCUUAUUCAACAGAAANNNNNNNNNNNNNNNNNNNNNNNNNNNNNNNNNNNNNNNNNNNNNNNNNNNNNNNNNNNNNNNNNNNNNNNNNNNNNNNNNNNNNNNNNNNNNNNNNNNNNNNNNNNNNNNNNNNNNNNNNNNNNNNNNNNNNNNNNNNNNNNNNNNNNNNNNNNNNNNNNNNNNNNNNNNNNNNNNNNNNNNNNNNNNNNNNNNNNNNNNNNNNNNNNNNNNNNNNNNNNNNNNNNNNNNNNNNNNNNNNNNNNNNNNNUAACGAAAUUCUUUGCACACAUAAAAAAGUAAUGAUGAUACUGGCAAUAUAACACAGUUUCUGUUUGUGGCCAUCUAUUUGCUCUGAUUUCUCUAACACUGCUUUAUGGUUUUUGCUACAGGUGGCGAUGGUUCCGCGAUAGGAGGGAACAGAUGUACUAGGCUAGCCAUCGGAACUCACCUCAUGUAUAAUAUUUUCUUGAUGGUCAAUGGCCGAGGGGUUGGGUCAGUUCUUCAUAGCACUCUGGUAGUGACCAAUAAUUAAUCUUCUGUAGAUAUUCAGUAUGAGGAAAGUACAAGAUGGUGAAGUGGAAGGCAUGUGUAGUUUAUCCAGUAUUGGUAGAAUGCUUUGCAUUUUGAAGCAUAUUUAGUUAGAGAAUUCAGAAGAGAAGAGAUUUCUUGUCUAUGGUGGGAAAUCCAGUCUAUAUAUAUAUGACCAUAUCAGCACAUGUACUGUUGGUGUGACUUCUAUUUGCCAUGUUUUGGUCAUGCCUACCUUCUGAUAUGAUAUCAGUAGACCCAUAGACUACAGCUAAAUCUAAGACAGGCUCUCCAUCUUUAGCACUCAUGGCAUGGACCGUCGUAUUUUGAAGUGAGUUGAAAGCACUUUAGAUAGUGGAUACAGCUCAGCAACCAUUCAGAAAGAACUAAGUUCUAACUCAAGGAAAAUAUAUAUUAAUGGGAUGCCAAACAAAUGAGAAAAAAUCAAAUAAUUUUAUCACAAAAAAGUGCAGUGAUCAUCUACAGUUUGUAUUGGUUACAAGAGCAUAUAUCCCCAUUAACCUUUCUCCACUAUGGUAGCCAAAGUGCUUUACAUUUCUUUUAGUACAUAUCUAGUUGGUGAGUUCGAAAGAAAAGUGAUGUCAUGUCUAUCGAGUAAAACCCACAGAGUCAGCUAUAUGACUACAUCAGCACAUGUACUGUUGGUCUGACUUCUAUAGUUGUCAUGUUUUGGCCUGUCUACCUUCUGAUAUGAUUAUCCCUAAACUGAGGCUAAACCUAAGACAGGCUCUCCAACUUCAGCACCCAUGGACCAUGGUAUUUUUUUUUAUGUGGUUGUCUGGUAAGGAAAGGCUUUACAGCUCAGCAAUAUUUCAGAAGGCGCUUCUAAUUCAAGGCAGAAUAAUGUAACGAUAAGACAAACUCCUGAUAAGAACGAAAUAACUGUAUCACAAGCAAUGUGCAGUGACCAUGUGUGAUUAGCAUUGGUUAGAAUAGAAUAUAUUCUCAUCGACCCUUUUCACAUAAAACUUGAUGCCGGAUAGACGGUGCAGCAACUUCGCCGAUAAGAAUAAUACUAGACGGAAUCUCAAAAGGUGCCAAGUGAUUACUGGAUUGCAGGUGUACUAAGUUUUGGGACAAUCUGUCUCUAGGAAGCAAAGUAUCUAGUGUCCCGUGUCAGCUAUGACUGUCUAACAAGAUGCUGAUUCAAUGCAAAUUCUGGAACACAACACAAGCAAAGAGACAGUCUGAUCUUGAACUCACCUCCUUGCAACCCAGGUAGCCUCCAAGUGGGGAAUGAUUCCGAGAAGAGCCCAGGGGAGACUCAGCACUAACCAAACUCUUAAUCUCAACCCGCAAUGAAGCCAUUCGGUGAUUUUAGUUGAGUAUCAUCAAAUUCCACUAGAACAGGUCAUCUGAGUGCCCCCCCUGUUGAAGAUUCAUGGACUCUCAUUAUAUGGGGAUUAUAACAGCAGCAGUUGUUCCUGCAAGGAGCAUUCUUCCAGUAGGGGAGGUACCCUGCAACAACAGGGAUCGCUCAUCCACUGCAAGUUGCAUGUUUGAAAGCGCAAUUGCCAGGCAACUAAAUCUGCAGGAAUGGGGUCAGAGUGCCCAGGACAGGGAAACAGGCCACCUGGAAUAGCAGGGAUGGAGACUGACAAAAAAACAUGGAAGCAUAGGAAGGCUGGAAGCUAUGGAAGAACAAUCUGCAUCUAAUUCAUAGAUGCUUCUCUAGAACUGUGACAUUUAUGCAAUAUUCUGCAACACAACAUAAACUGCUCUUCCAGGACAUCAGAACUGAGGGGGUUGAAUGCAAAGGGAGGUAAGGAAGAUGAGCAGUAGAUCAACAACAAACAUUAGUAGUUCCAAUACCGAUUCCAAACGAACUUCGGUGCCACAAAUGUGACAGAAGGUUGCACACAUUUGUCAUUUCUGAUUACCAGCACACAACUACGAUCAUUUGGUUUAUUCUACAUGCAUCAUAGAGCAGAUGUUUCAUUACAAUGAAGACAAAUUUGGGAACACCGUAUUAAAACAAAAUCAGCAAUUUUGGGAUUGCUGUUGAAGGAAAGGGGUACAGCCAGAGUUCCACACAGAAGGGUUGAGACAUUGUUGACAAUUGUUGCACAGAACAUAUUCAGGCUAUCUGAAAAGGAAAGAAAAAAUAGCGACGAAACGGAGCAGCAGAAACAAGUUAGACGCCUUGCCAUUUUCCAGAGGAGCUCCUUAA
rnacentral:lncRNA from 1 species